GGGAAGGGCGGCCGCGGGCCGCGCCGUCGGGAGGCGCAGAAGCGACUCCGCUCCGCGCUCCGGGCCGGGUCUUGCAGGCCGCGCCGUCCGGAGGAGCAGAGGCGGAUCCGCUCUGACUCUGCCUUCGCUCUCCGGGUUUUGCGGCCGCGCCCAGCCCCCCGCGGUGACUCCCGCGGUCGCCGGCGUCAGGGCGAGGCUGCCGCCCGCCUCCCCACUGGGCAUGCGCGGCCGGACCACCCGGAGCCGGGAGGAGGGGGCGUGCGCGGGACUUGGGGCUGGAGUUCGAUGUCCGGGGUGCAGCCUGGUGUCUGUGUUGUCCGAAGCCGGUGGGAGGACCCGCGCAUCACAGGGUGGAGAUACUCGUGGAGAAAAUGCGGAGCGCCACCAAAGCGCGGAAGUCCUUGGCACACACUCUCACCACUCCCACCGAGAAGUCUGGCCUUGACCCCUGGGCGCAGACCUUGUGGCUCCGCAGCCUCGCGGCUCCAAACCUCUCAACCCUUGCCUUGCAGGCCUCCAGCUCCCUGCGGACCUUCAGCCGGGCCCUUCCAGCUGCACCUGAGGACAGGAAGUGAGGUUCCUCACAUUAUCCUGCACUGGUGGCUGUCAGGUCAGUCCCCAGACCCUGACCCUGUGAUAGGAAAGGUCCUGAAGCUGCUCUGGUUCAGGGCACAAGUGGGGGAAGUGCACUUCCAGUGCCCAGGUGUGACUCAGUUUACCCAGACUCUGGAAGUCCUAGUCAAGGCAGGAUGGGUGGUGCCCUGUGGCUUUCGGAGUUUAGGACUGAGCAAGGGCCCUUCCAGCUCUGCUCGCAGACUUCCUCUUGGGAACUCACACCCACACCAUGGCAGGACAGAGAGAGCCAGAGCCAUGCUGACUUCUCUGUCCUCCUCACCACCCCCUUCCACCUCAGACCCACCGGCAGCUCACGCUACCCAGGAGCAUCUGCGCCUGAAUCUCCCUGCAGCCCUGAGGGGUUGGCCUUACCACCCUUGCUCCAUCGGAGAGGGAAUGGAGACUCAGAGAGGCUAAGGAACUUGUCUUCAGUCACACAGCCCGUGGCAGAAGCAAGUUGCCACCAGUGGCCUACCUGACCCCAAAGCCCAACGUGUCUACACUGUGUAAGAGCUUCCAUGAAAAUAAACUGUGGUGGUGAUAAGUUAAACACGGGAAACAGGAGCCCGACAUCACAGGAAGUGAAACACGAUAUAGCCCAGAGCAACUGUGGGCUGUUUCGUUCCCAGCAUAGAUGGGAGGCAAAAUGCAAAGCAGCACACCUGUUCCCAGAAGUAUUUGGGGGUUUUUAAAUGUCAGCCACAAUGCUCAUGAAUCACUCUCUUUAAAGCUGUUAAUCCAAAUAGCCCCCUCUUUCCCCUGUGCCGCUCAGGAUUCAUUGAGAGUCCUCUGCUGGCCUGAAUCCCAAGUCAGACUCAGGCCUGCCAGGCCCUGUGGGAAAACUCACUCUCUUCUCAGGGAAGGUCUGUCCCCAGGUCCCCAGGUUUGCUGUAGGAGGGAGAGAACUUGUCCCUCUGGUGACAGCACAACCGGAACAUCGAGGAACAGGCAGAGCAGAGUCAUAGCCAAGGUCCCAGAGUCAUCCGCUCACGUGCGGGCUCUUCACUGAGGGCCUGUGACGUGGGACCCCAAUGACCACAGAACAGGCCCUGCCGUCUGUGGCAGGCAGGCGUUGUCCAACCUCGCAGGCGGUACCCAGCUGUGACAGGAGUGUCCCUAUGAGCUGGUGAGGACAGUGACGUAGGAAAAGUUCUGUGUGUACAGGGGUAAUCAAAAUACACAGUGAAUGGGCUGGGGAUUUAGCUC
ensembl:lincRNA